ensembl:lncRNA
AGAAGGAGGAGCGGUCGCUGCUGGAGCCGAGGAGCCGGAGCCCGGCCCGACCCCGACCCCGACCCCGGUCCGCGGCAGUCCCGGGCCACAUAUCCAUGAGCUCCGAUUUCCAGCAUUACACUUUCAGAAUGCCUAACAUCGGGUUCCAGAAUCUGCCUCUCAACAUAUACAUUGUGGUUUUUGGCACUGCGAUUUUUGUCUUCAUACUUAGUUUACUCUUCUGUUGCUACUUAAUCAGGCUAAGACAUCAAGCCCACAAAGAAUUUUACGCCUACAAACAGGUUAUAUUAAAAGAAAAAGUAAAAGAGCUGAAUUUGCAUGAGAGAAGGAAAAAUAUGGACCCAAGAUGAUAACAACCUCAGAUGGAUGCAAAGCUGGUUGCUCGGCCAGACUCAGAAUCACAGUAAAGGUUCCGCGAGCCCCGCAGGAAGUCUCCAGGGAAGCCGCUCAGGCUCUGUGCCGGCUCUGCCGUGCCAGCGAGUGGGAGAAAGGCACCCGGUCCCCCCGGUGGCAGGCGGCCCAGAGCGAGACAGGAGAGAGCGCCUUCCGACAAGCUAAACCCUGAGGUGGGGAGAAAAUGGAAUUCACUGGGGUUGGAGGUCACGUUUAAACUUGGGCACCAAAGAACUGCUUCGUAACCAUAAAGUGGGAGAGAUGGAGAGUCAAGAGCUCUGAAAAAGGCCUCUGGGUUUUGGUGGACUGCGAGCGUCCUGGGCGUCAGUCUGGUGGCCAAGAAAGCGUGUUCAUUCCCGGUCUGAAUUAAGGGAGACGGAGCUUCCAGGAAGCCUGCCACAGCACCCGACCUCCUCUGGAGCUUCAGGGGCCUCCCCCCCAGGCAGGGCCUUGACACCCUGGAGGGAUCCAGAGGACUCUGGCGUGGGAGAGCACUCGAGUCCAAGGCUGGAAGGGUGGAUUGAAGGAACGGGGCAUCCCCUCACACCCAAGGGAGCGUGAGGGCCGUGUCCACAAGGCUGAGAGCAAGGAGGAAUCCAGGGGCCUCUUCUGUCCCGUCCCCGGCUGUCAUUCUGGGUUCUCCAGCCGAGUGGCUUGCAGACAUCAUCCAAAGUGGGCAUGGGGCUCUUCCCUAAUGUUCUUCACGCCUUCCCUCCUUCUGUGAGGGCAGUGCCCUGUGCCCAGUGCCCCUGGCUCACAACCUGGGACUCAUCCCAGACUCCGGUCUCUCCCGGCACACCCAGGCCACUGCCGGGCCUCCGAUCUCACGUCUCUCCUCUCACACCGGCCUCCCCUCAGUGCAGACCUUCCUCCCUCCCUGGACUGUAGCCUCCAUCCGCUUUGGGUCUCCUCCCCCACACUCCCACCAUUCAGCAGCCAAAGUCUGGCUCCUCAUGGCUGCCGUACCCCCAGUAAAUUCCCAGAGCUCCCGGGGGACUCCAGGACCAGAUACACACCCUCUGGUUGGGAGGAAAGCCCCUAUAAGCCAGCCCCCUGCUCCCCCCGACACAAUCGGGGCUUGGAGAGCUCUCCCUCCUCUGCUUCCCCCACUGGCCUGCCCAGCUCCCCCUGAGUGCUUCUCCCCAGCCUCCCCUCCCCUCCCCUCUGGGGAUCAUGCCCCAUUUAUUUCGUGCACAGCUUGCUGUGUCUUUAUAUCGUCUCUGCCACUGGACUGUGAGCCCCUCGAGGGCAGGGAUGUUUGUGGACAUCUUGGUGUCCCCAGCACUUAGCACAGCCCCCGGCACAGGGCGGGCACUUAAUAAAUGCCCAGUGACUGACCGCUUGGUCCCAGAGCGCAGAAGGGAGGGUGGGAGCUUCAUGUCAGAAGCAGACGGCCGUCCUCGGGGGGCUGAGCCAUUUCUGGCCCUGAAGCAGCUGGAUGGCCCCUCGUCAGGGCUGAUAGAAUGGGGACUCCGUCUGGCCGGGGCUGCCUGGCUGCUGAGCUCCUUCCUGCCUCUGAAAUGCCCCCCAGCCUGGCCUGCGGAGGGAUCGGGACCCUGGGUUUGGUUCUGAGAGCUGCAGGACCAUGUGUGAGACAGCUCUGCAAACAAAAGAGCUGGAUCCACGAGGGCGGCUGGGAGGAAGGCAGCAUGUCAUGGAAAAGAGCUGCCCUCCGACCCGACGCCCUAAGGACCAUUGGGACCAGGGCCGGCCAUGCUGGAAGUCCUCAUGGGGAGGGCCCCGGCUGGCAAAGGGGCACAGCCGUACCCAAGAGAAAUAAGGAGGCCUGGGGCAGACACUGCUCUGCCACCUUCCAUCUUGGCGGCAGUCACUGGGAAAGACUUGUGUUUGUAAAGAAUACAUUGAUUUUGGAAGGAGUGGGAGCCAUCAGCCUUGUGCUGGAUCACAAGGCAUGACCCGGGCGUUCUUCAGCGGGUCGGGGGCCCCUUGGCGCAGCCCACUGAGCCCGACUGACGGACGAGGAGGGGGGAGCUUUGUCUGGCACCGGCUGUCAUGCUGCGAGUUACUCAUACAGGCACAGACACCGGAGCCAUCCUGGAAGUCAUGGCUGCCCUUCCGGGCCCUAUAAAUGGAAUCGAGCAUUGAAAGCGGUUUCUCUCACUUCUCCAUUAUUAUAAAUCAGGACAAAGGUGCACCAGACUGUCCCCAAACAACAACAAGGAAAUCUGAAGCUACAGAACAAACGGUUUGCCCCAGAAUUCUGUGGUAGCAAACCUGCCGCUGCUGGUGCGCCUGGGGCUGCUCAGCCGAUCCGGAUCCUCCACCUCCGUCCGCUUCCAUGUGAUCGUGGCUCUGGAGUAGAGAG